AGUGAACGCUGGCGGUAGGCCUAACACAUGCAAGUCGAACGGCAGCACAGGAGAGCUUGCUCUCUGGGUGGCGAGUGGCGGACGGGUGAGGAAUACAUCGGAAUCUACUCUGUCGUGGGGGAUAACGUAGGGAAACUUACGCUAAUACCGCAUAUGACCUACGGGUGAAAGCAGGGGACCUUCGGGCCUUGCGCGAUUGAAUGAGCCGAUGUCGGAUUAGCUAGUUGGCGGGGUAAAGGCCCACCAAGGCGACGAUCCGUAGCUGGUCUGAGAGGAUGGUGAGCCACACUGGAAAUGAGGCACGGUCCAGACGCCGAAGGUAGGCAGCAGUGGGGAAUAUUGGACAAGGGGGGCAAGCCUGGUUCAGCCAUACCGCGUGGGUGAAGAAGGCCUUCUGGUUGUAAAGCCCUUUUGUUGGGAAAGAAAUCCAGCUGGCUAAUACCCGGUUGGGAUGACGGUACCCAAAGAAUAAGCACCGGCUAACUUCGUGCCAGCAGCCGCCGUAA
rnacentral:rRNA from 1 species